CGUUAGUCCCAUCUUUAUUCUUUCUGAGGUCCAUUGGCUCCUGUUUGUACAUUCUACUAUCAAUCUUCUGUCUGCUCAGAAUUUUUUUUUUAGAGGGACCUAUUCCCAGGAAAGAAAAUGGGAGAUAAUUUUAACUUAUUCAGAACAGCUGUUGAGCAAAAGGAGAUGAGUAGUCCAGUUACGUACUAGAAGACUGAAAAGACCAGUGGCAGUUUUGUUGUGCCAUUUCCAGACUUCAGCAGGCUUUCAGCACAGUGUCUCUUGCAGAUAUUUGAAGUGCACAAAUGAAAAAAGGAUUCCAGAAAUAAAUAGAAGAGAGUAUUGCUUAAACUCCUGGGAGAGUCACUCUACCAACCUAUAGCCCCAACUGUGGUCAUAUGGAAAACCAACCCAACAAUUAACAACCACUUAUCUUUUCUGCCACCUUGUAUCUGAAAUAAACCCUUUGAACAGUAGGAUCAGAGCAAAGGAAGGAGAAAGGAGAAACGAACAAGCUCAGACCAACACUGGGCACCUGAUGUGUUCCUGCAAUCAAGCAACAGGCACGCAGACUUCUGGGUUUCUGAGGGAUGCUUAGAAUAUAGGGAAGAAUGAAAAUGAAGAGAUUAUAGGCAGGUUGGGAUAAUAGAUGCUAAGCAAAGCUUUUACGUCUCCCAUAUUUGGCCAAUUAUGCAAAGAGAGAAUCUGCACAGGUAAGCAGCACGUAGGAAUGAGUGUCAGAAGACUUCUCUGGGACAGUGUUACAAGACUGAUUAUCCCUUUAUGUGAGUACGAUCACCAUAUCCACCUGGCACUAACAGCUAAUAAAAAAACAUCCCAAGGUAGCUUUUAACAGAGCUUUCAUGCGUGGCUCUGUCAGUUGCUUUAGGUGCAACAAUGCAUCCCAUAUAGAAGGGUAAAACCCAGGUUAAAUACAGAAUUAGCACAUAACAAAGGAAGGACAUCAUGCUUGAAUCUCUCCCAGUAGCUAAGUCUUCCCUCAUUAGCAAGGCAGAGCAGUGAUAUUUCUGUCCAAGUGUUCAGACUAAUUGAAAAGUGAGGCAAUCAAUUGCUAAUUUCAUAGCUUCUCUGGUUCCUGUAAAAAUAAAACUUUGUCAUGAUCCAUUCAUUAGAUUUCUCACCACACCAGCACAGAUGACUCCUUAUGCCAUUGUACUUCCAUAAGGAAUUACAAUCAGCAACACAGGAAGUCUAAGUAAGAGAGCAUGGAAAACCAUCAAUAGCAGAGAGAGCACCACAGCGUAACAAACGCUUAUCCACAUGAGUGGCUCCCACCAGAGGAAAGAUGUAAUUUGUAGCUGCUUCAGUUUCAAUUGUGGAGACUGAGAAAAAAGAAAGACUUCCUUCUUUUGUGCUGGAAUCUCUUUCAUGAUGAAGCUAUCAAAUUCAAAUACCAAUCAUUUGACAGGCUCUUCUUUAGACAUACUCAGCAAUUCAUUUACUACUUAAAAGCCAGCUGACACUGCCAAAAUGAAUGAGGGUUUGGCAAAUAACUUAAGACUAAGAAUCUCCCCUCUAAAUUUAGUGAGUGCUGUGUUCUAUUGUUUAUCACAGAGGACGUUUAUUGGAUGGACUAAAAUCCCAAUAUAGUAGGAACAUAUUUAAACAUAAAAUGCCUACCAUAAAGUUAUUAAUAUAAACCUAUUUUUGAGAAGCUAGGGAGACCAGACGAGAAAAACUUUCUGAAAAUAAUGGAUGACUUCAGUGUGACACCAGCUGUGCGCAGGCUGGUAUACAGUUACACCAGAUACCUAUUUUGCACAAUAGGUCUCAUGAUAGGUAAGAGUGUGUUACAGGAUGGAUCCACAUUAAAUUGUGACAAUUUUGGCUUCUGCACCAUUAGAAGAAACUGCUCAGCUGAUUAGAAUUAUGUUGUUUCUGUAAAUCAAUCCCUCACAUGGGAUGUUAAAAGAAAAAUUAUUUUGUGAGUAGCAAAUGUAAGCACGCUGAUCCAUGCACAAGUAUCCUGCUGGUAUGUAAACGUCCCCCAUGUUUCUACCAUUAAAGCUCAGUCAUGGGAGUGCAGCCAACUGCACUGACAGGUAAGCAGUGUAACUCCAAUACAGAGCCCAGAAACAUACCUGAAGAUAGAGAAGUUUAAAUCAAGGGCUGGGGACCAGGAAUUCUCAGUUUUACUUCCUUUUCGAGCACUGCAAGGCAAUAGGGCAUAUGGCAAGUCAUUACAAACCAUCAUGCAAAGCCUCCUGGAAAACAAAGAUAGCUCAUUCACCUGAAAAAGAAAACACAUAGAGUAUCUACUCCAGAGAAGUACUUAGAACACUAAUUAGGGAACUGUUCUUUUCUCUUAUCUCCAUUUCAGUCUACUCUCUUCAUUAUAGGAUAAGUCCAUCUCUAGCAAAGAGAAUUUUACACAUGAGAGAAAAAAUAUUAGAGCAUAAACUUCACUUCCAAGUCAUGGCCUUUUUUGCAUUUUUUUGUUUUUUUUUUUUAAACCUCAUAAGAUUAACAGAAUUCAAUAAUUCUAAUCCAUGGAUGAAAGACUUAAAAAAUACUCCAAAACAUAACAGUCAUACAUUUCAGUGAAUGAAACGAAGUGGAAAAAAAUAGAAGACUCAUCUAUGCCUUAGUAAAGAGUGUCAGAAGCAAAGCAGCUAUGAAAGAAAAGUAAAGAGAAGCUCAGUGACUAAAAAUGGGAGCUAUGAAACAGAUUCUCAGCAUAUAUGAACACUUCACCUUUCACGCUGAAAAAAAAUAAAUUAUUUCAAGAUACAGUUUUAAGCUGAUUGUUGUUGUUUUAAAAAGAAGACCAAGCGUGGAGUAUUUCCAUCAGUAAUAACCUUCCCAU